rnacentral:rRNA from 1 species
UACGUAGGGUGCGAGCGUUGUCCGGAAUUAUUGGGCGUAAAGAGCUCGUAGGCGGUGUGUCACGUCGGCCGUGAAAACCUGCAGCUUAACUGUGGGCGUGCGGUCGAUACGGGCAUCACUGGAGUUCGGCAGGGGAGACUGGAAUUCCUGGUGUAGCGGUGAAAUGCGCAGAUAUCAGGAGGAACACCGGUGGCGAAGGCGGGUCUCUGGGCCGGUACUGCGCUGAGGAGCGAAAGCGUGGGGAGCGAACAGG